GCGGGAGUUCCCGAGUGGUCAAAGGGGGCAGACUCAAGAUCUGCUGUGUAGAACUUCGAGGGUUCGAACCCCUCCUCCCGCA
rnacentral:tRNA from 2 species